rnacentral:lncRNA from 1 species
AAAAGCCAAAAAUUAGAAAAGAAACUCAAAUAACCAACCGUUGAAUGUCGCUGGGUUGUAGCACUACGGGCUCCAGGUACUUUCUAAUUUCCUUUAUUUAACCUGAUUUGAGUCGUGAAAAUAGCCUCUGUGGUCCGGGCCAGCUGUAAUUUUGGGGGAUUGGAGGAGUUAGCAGCUUUGUUAGUUAACAGGAGGCAAACUCAAGAAUCUAUGUAUAGAUCACGCGACUCAAAUUCUUCACCUUGUUCAAAUUUGAUUGAGUUGUGAAGGGGAAUCGUUGCAAUGGACCUGAUUUCAAUUGAAUUUAAAGCUAAUGAUUAGAUGUUUUUGAUGAGAGAUGAGGGUUUACUGAUAUGUAGGUGUGAAAUCAUGAUGGUUGAAGGUGAUAAAAUGACAUGAGGUAGAUUUAUAAUCACAUGGAAGGAAGUUAUGUAAAUGAACCUCCAAUAUCUUGAAAUCUAUAUGAAAUUUGUGAUGAACGGAAUACAAUAAAUGCAAAUAAUCCAUAUAGGCAAUACGAACUGGUUGGAUUAAUAUAGUCAUUAUUCACACAUUUAUAUUAGAUCAUGCAUUUGAUAAGAGUCUAUGAAGUAUGUUUAGAGAUUGUAUGGAAGUGUAAGGAUACGUGCAAGAUUAGAGAAUCUCUAAUUUUUCAUAGAAAUACAAACAAUUGAAUGGUAGAAUGAGACGUCCCAAAUCCAAAAGAAUAGAUAUAGAGAAUGCAUAUAGCGCGCACCUCACUAGUUUGGAGUUGAGGUGUUAUUGUUAAUGUAAUGCUAUUCUUGCCUUUCCGAGCUGUCAAUAUAGGUCUUCAGAUAAAGGAUCCUCUGAAAUUCCUCCUUAUUUAUUUUGAAAAUACUGAUAAAAAUAAUGUGGUUAUAUAGGAUCCAAUAAUUAAGCAAAUCCCUGCAAGUCGUCACUUGCUGCCCCCCAUAUUCUCAUGAUAAUAUAUUAAUUUUAAGAUAGCAUUAGUUACAUAACUAAGUUUUUUACCCUUCCGAUGGCGAAUUACUCCAUAAUUGCAAGUUUAUGCGCCAUCAGCUUCUGCACAUGCAUGCUUCUUCUUCUAUUCGAUCUUGCAAUUUCUUAGGUUAACUGAAAAUGGUCUCGUCAAACCACAAUCUAUCUUAAAGUUAUCUAAUUGGCUCCCAUUCCAGCCUGACCUACAGUGUAGCUGUCGGAGUUUUGAUUUGCUCGCUUACAUUUUCUUUCGGAUUUCUAUCACUAACUUCAAUCAUAGUACAUGAGCUAUAUUUACAUUUGUUAUUACUUGGUUUAAGGAAAAUUUUGAGCUUAUCAUCAGCAUGUUUCUUAAAGAGCUCUCAAGUUUAGUGGUUAGGGUCAGAUUCAAAUUAUUUCAAGUCCUUUGACAGAACUCAUUUUGGUGUAACUUGCCACUUACUUCACCUCAUAUGAUUGCGUGGUGGAAUGGUCAAGACUUAAUUUUUAGCAACAACAGCUCAUACUUUCUGUCAUACUCCUCAAUUUCACUUAUGGUCUUUGAAAUAGUAUAGCACUUCCUUCAGCUUUUGAAGAAAAAUAUAAAAAGAAAGCUUUACAAGGAAGCAACUGAUUCUUGUGUCUCUUAUGCUUUUAAUGGAUAUGUGAAUGUAGACUCUAGUGCCAUUGAAUUGUGAGCUCGACAUUGUGCAACAAUAAGCUUACUAAUCAUAUUAUACAAUAUUAAAUGUUUCGGAUGCAAGUGAAGAUGAGGAAUAUAAUGAUGUCACUCCUUAAAGAUUCUCAUUUAAACAGUAAUAUACAAGCUACUUUCUCUGUGAUGGAUCAGAUGUUUAUCCUGCUACUUGAUACUCGUUGCCAUGUCUUCUUUCACUAGUUCCCAAUUUGUCACACAAUAAAAAUAAUUCAUGCUUUGGCUGCUGCAAGACUAUGACAUUUUGAGUUAUAGUUCAUAUUGUCUAAUAGGUCCCAUGCAAGCAUGGAAUUUCAGAGCUAGCAGUUGAGGUGUUGUUGAUAUUGUUGUUUAUUUUUAAAUAACAACAAGAUAGUAGUUGUACCAAAUGUAAUGAGAAAUCUCCAGAAAUAGAAGUGGUACACAAAAAGUAUAGAACUUGUAAUAAACAUGGUUAUAUAUGAAAGACAUGCAACUAUAUAUACUAACAGGAACCUAUAGGUGUAUCAAAACAAAGGGACAAAAACCAAACCCUUAUAUAUACAAGUUUUUUUUGAAGAGGGACAAAGCUAGCAGUUGAAUAAUUGGACAAACGAGUAGUUCAGUCAAUGCAACACAAAAUUGCUUGCCAAAUCAUUAUUCCCUAGGGUUGGAUCUACUUACAAAUUAGAGGUCGACAAAUGUGCAUGUUUCUUGCAUAUCCAUGUUCUCGUUUUGCACAAAUCAUUCUAAUAUCCCAGUUUCAAUUUCAACAUUUCUGCUGCAUUAAAUUCCUAGAAACUAGGCGUCCAUCAGUUAUUUUUUGUGACAGUGAAUACUUCCAUAUGAUGCAAUCUGAUUUAUUGGCUCAACUGUUUUAUACUAUAAUCUCUAGGGCAUUUGCUCUUUGUCCGUAUGAUGCAUGUUAUUCUGAACCCACAGUAGAAAAGAUUUGGCUUAUAUUGUGCUUGACAAACAAUUUUUGUGUCUAUAUUUGCCAAUUUUGUUCGAUGAUUUUUCAACAACGCUGUGCAAACCUAAACUGUCUGAUAUCCAGUGCCAUUAAUGGGAUUGGCUGGUUAUCUAGCCUGUUUGUUUAGGAAAAACUCUUCCACACCUAUAAUUUCACUUCGUAAAGUAUCCAUUAGCUUACCUAGACUGCAUAAAUCAACCAAGUUUAGACUGUUGGUUCUACCAAGGUUAGUUGGCUCUAAAAUGCUUCCCACUAUGUUUCUGCUUUCAUAGGUCUAAGUUUGUUGAUCUCAUGAACAUAAAUGUUUUAUUUCAUUUGUGGUUUGAUAAAAACUUCACCAAAAUGUGGCUCUAUGUGCACUCAUAAAAUUUGAAUGAGCUUUUUCCAUAUGCAAUUUGUCUUCGUAGUCCUCCUCCUGUGGCAUCUUACAACAUUAUGACAUCUUGCUUGGUCAAGUAUUAGUGCAGAUAUAAAACAUUUGAGACCUUAGUGUUUCAUGUCUAUUGCAUUAUUUUGAGAAAUAAGACUAAAGCAUUUAUGCUUUCUGGGCAGGAGAAAAAAAUGAGGCAUUUCAGCUUCUCUUUGGUCUGGUUAGCACAUUAGCCUUUUAAUGCAAGUUGUUGCUUCAAAGGUGCCCUUCAGGAGUCUCCACACAAAGUUUUAUGAUUUUGAAAGAUACAAGUCGAGCACAUAACAAGUAUGCUUGUCUAUCUUUUAAAUGAUUACUCUUAUUGUACUUGUAUAUGGUAUUGUAUAUGGUAUUACUGGAUAUGUUGAUUUUGUCCUUUUAUUAUUCCUUGUCUAGAUUGUUUUAUUUUGAGCCGGGGGUCUAUCGGUAACAGCCUCUCUAUCUCAUUUCUGAGGUAGUGAUACAGAUUGCGUACACUUACCCUCUGCAGACCCCACUUGGUGGAAAUAUACUGGGUAUGUUGUUGUUGUACUCUUAUUGCUUGAAUCCAGUUAGAAAGCGGGACGAAAUAACUUUGAACUACUAGAUCAGGUUGAACUUGUACAAUUUGUAGGUCAACAUUAAGAGAUUUUAAGGACAACUGGCACCUUUUGCUCCUCAAGCUACUGCUUAAUUUCAAACCCUGGAUUGUUGCACUUGGCUGGUCUUUAAUUUGUUUAGAAGGAGACAGUCUGGUCCUUUUUGGUAAUUCAAUCAACCAAUCUGACCCUUUUUGGCAAUUCAAUCAACCAAUCUUUUUAAGAAUCCCAUAAGUUCCAGAGUCUUCCAACCCUUUCUUCUUUUGCCCAUCUCUCAUAUCCUUCAUAAUCCAUCAUCAGACCUUGCAACCCCUUAUGCACUCCUAACUCUGCUCCCUACUUCUAGCAACCUUGCUGUUUGCCUCAUACACUGCAUUUCUCCAUGCAUUCCCCCUGGUUGGGAAAUGGCGCUGCAGCAUGUGCAACAGGAUGAGGAAGAAUGCAAAUGUUGCGGGUACUUAAAGAUGGGGUUGCAAGGUGCAGGGGAAGGUCAUAGAGCCACUUAGUGGUCAUUUAGAUGCCACUUACACACUGACACCUCCAUAUUAUUAAUACGGUGCAUCAACAGUACACCAAACUCUGGUAAUUUACCACACCUGCCUCAAUGUUGUUAAAAAUGUCUUUCUCACAGAUUAAUUUGAGUUAGUUCUUUUUUUCCAAUUCAAUUUUAGGUAAUUACCAAAGUGGGGUUCAUAUAUCUCUAAAAUUAGAGAUGGCAUACUUUGUCUACCAUUUGUCCUAUCUCUAUAUCAACUGUAGCACUAAUCUCGAGAUCAUAAUGCAGCUGUAUAUCAAUACUUUAUAAUGCACAUAUUAUCUUCUCUUUGCAUGAGAUGAACCCUUGGAGGGAUAAUCAUUGAAGCUAAUUGUUGUACAAAUUUUAUUCUGAUUUAGUUGUUCCAAUUAGAAUGAAAAUGUAAAGCGCUGGAUUUUGUUUUGCUAAGUAUUACUUUUUCGUUCAGGCGCUAAGAUGAGCACAAGGGCAUUUGAAAGGUUAAAAAUGUGUAUGACACCUAAAUCUUAUGCUUAAGAGGUUUUAUGGAUGUUUAUAAUAAGGAGGAGUAAACUUGGCAAAAUUUGGAAAUGUUUGACGAAAGAAAAUGAUCAUAGUCGCACUUAAUCUAACUUCAAAAGAUCAUAUCUCCCUACGUAUAUUGAGUUGAGCUUUGAGAUAAAUGUCAAAUUUAAGCCCUUGACGUCUAGUUUCCGGAACAUCAAACCGUUCGUUAAUCUGAGUGUAGUAAGUUAUGACUGUUUUUCCAAAGGGUGAUUGUGCUGUCACAUGUGGGGCAAUGGUAGGGCGAAGCAUAGCCAUAGCACCACAAAAUGGAGGAUUCUAGAAUGUAUGAGGGCGAUAGUGGGGCGACUAGCAAGGAUCCCCAAGCCCAAAAAACACAGAAGUCUGGGAAGGUUUUCCCAAUCAUAGUGUAACAUAACCCCUGCAAUUUUUGAAGAGUUUUUCCUCUAAGGAUCUCUUACAACAUCUAAGAUCAGUUUCCUACCAUCAAAUUGAGUUUAAGCUAUGAUAUUAACACUGAUAGGUUCCUUUAAUAUCGAGUAAAGAUUUUAAAGUGAGAUCGCCUAAAGAGCAAGAAUUAGUAGAAUUGCCCAUAAACAACUUUCCCAAGAGUUACAAGAACCCUAGAUUUUGAGAAGAAGAGAGAAAAGAGAAGUUUACUGAUAUUUCUUAAUCCACAAAAACUGCUUACAAUUGAGAAUGCAACUGUUGCUUUAUACAGGGGAAUUUCCAGAAGUUAGUUAUAACUAACUUUCACCUAACAGCUCCAACAACUUUAACUAACUCCCUCUGUCACGUGCUAGUCAUGUGACUAUUUAAUUCCUAAUUACAAUUGAUUAAAUCGGAAAGAAAAUUACAAAAAUCACUAGAGUUGUAACAAUACUCCCCCCAUCACAGCAUCCAUGUCCUCAAGGAUGGAAAUCUGGAAACUGCUGGCAGAUAAUGUGGUAAUCCUCCCAUGUACUAUCCUCCGUAGGAGCAUUGAACCAUUUGAUAAGCCAUUGUGAAACAGCUCGACCUCUCUUUUGCACCAUCCUCGUAUCUAUAACAGCUUCAGGUACUAGCAAAACGGACCCUCAACUAGAGUGCACCACAGGGAAAGUAACAGAAACUGGAUGGGAUCCUACCUUCAAUUUCAGUUGUGAUAUGUGGAAAGUAGGGUGGAUUUUAGCAUCCGCAGGCAAAUCCAGUGUAUAAGCAACCUUCUCCACCUUUGCAACAAUUUGGAAAGGUCCAAAAAACCUAGCCGAGAGUUUCUGAAAAGAGUGAGACUUGAGUGACGCUUGUCUAUAAGGCUGCAACUUAACGUACACUCAAUCACCAAUGUUGUAGCACUUGUCAGUUCUUUCUUUAUCAGCUUGUACCUUCAUUCUACUUUGGGCUUUAGUCAAGCAAGCCUUGAUAGACCUCAAAGUGGCCUCUCUAGCCACCAAGCUUCUGUCGACAACAUCCAAUUGAGAGUCAAGUGGUAAGUAAGGCAGUAGAGGAGGUGGUGGUUGACCAUAUACAACCUCAUAAGGAGUCAUCUUGAUUGAGGAAUGGUAAGUGGUAUUAUACCACCACUCAGAUAAGGGUAACCACAUAGGCCACUCUUUAGGUUUCUCAAAUGUCAUGCAUCUCAAGUAGCAUUCUAAACAUCUGUUAACCACCUCAGUUUGCCCAUCAGUCUGAGGGUGGUAUGUAGUGGAUGUCAACAAAGAGACCUUCUGAAGAGCAAACAAUUCCUUCCAAAAUCUGCUAGUGAAAACAACAUCUCUGUCUGAAACAAUGGGCUUAGGCAUGCCAUGCAGCCUAAAAACUUCAUUCAUGAACAACUGAGCUACAUCCAAGGCUGAAUAGGGAUGUUUGAGAGGCAAAAAGUGAGCAGCUUUUCUUAACCUAUCCACAACCACAAAGAUCACCCUUUUCCCAGCAACGGGAGGUAAACCCUCAAUGAAAUCCAUUGAAAUAUCUUGCCACACACUAGUAGGAAUGGGUAAAGGUUGUAGAAGACCUGGAUAAGACACAUUUUCCGCUUUGCAUUUUUGACAAACAUCACAGUGUCUGACAAAGUUAUACACCUCUUGCUUCAUCUUUUUCCCAUAAAAGCCUUGCCUCAAUCUUUGUAAAGUGGCUUUGAUCCCUGAAUGACCUCCCAGGCACUCUCAUGAUAGAAAACCAUAAGUUUUAUUCGAAGAGCUUCAUCAUUCCCCACCAUUAACUUGCCUUUCUUGCUUAAUAUACCAGUUUGAUAUUUGAGGUAAGGUUUGUGUGGUAAACAGCUUGAAUUGUUUGAAUCAACCUCAUGAGUGCAGGAUCUAUCAACCACGAUUGUUUAACUUCUUCCACUGAACUUCGGAAAUGCUGUUGAGUUGGAUCAAACUAUCCUUCCUGGACAAGGCAUUAGCCACAGUGUUAUCUUUCCCUUUCUUAUAAUCAAUGGUAUAGUCAUACCCUAGCAACUUGACCAACCAUUUUUGUUGACUCGGAGUAGUAAUCUUUUGUUCUAACAAAUAUUUAAGGCUGUUAUGAUCAGUCUUGACCACAAAAUGCCUACCAAGAAGGUAAGGUCUUCACUUCUGAACUGCUGAAACCAAAUCAAGUAGUUCCCUUUCAUAGACUGACAGAGCUUGAUUCUUAUCACAUAAGCCCUGGCUAAAAAAAGCAAUUGGUUUACCUUCUUGAGUCAACACUGCACCUAUGCCUCCAUCUGAAGUAUCCGUCUCAAUGACAAACUCUUUGGAAAAAUCAGGAAGAGUGAGUAUUGGUGCUGAAGUGAUACUAGUUUUGAGUGAUUCAAAUGCUGUAGUGGCCUUCUCAUUCCAUGCAAACUUUCCAUUCCUUAACAAAUCAUGCAAGGGCCUCGCAAUGAGGCCAUAGCCCUUUAUAAAUCUCCUAUAAUAUUCGGCCAACCCCAGGAACCCUCUUAAUUGUUUAAUAGUUGAUGGUAAAGGCCAAUUCACCACUGCAUCUACCUUGUGUGGAUCCAUAGCUACCCCUUGUCCAGAUAUAAAAUUAGCCUAAAUAAUCAAUCUGAGAAACUCCAAAAGCACACUUGCUUUGUUUGACAAAUAAGGUAUGAUCCCUCAAAAUUUGAAAAGUGAUUCUCAAAUGAACUAAAUGAUCAGACAUUGUAGGACUGUAUACCAAAAUGUCAUCACUAACACUGAUAGGUUCCUUUAAUAUCUUUAAAGUGAGAUCGCCUAAAGAGCAAGAAUUAGUAUAAUUGCCCUUGAACAACUUUCCCAAGAGUUACAAGAACCUUAGAUUUUGAGAAAGAAAAGAGAAGUUUACUGAUAUUUCUUGAUCCAUAAAAACUGCUUACAAUUGAGAAUGCAACUGUUGCUUUAUACAGGGGAAUUUCCAGAAGUUAGUUAUAACUAACUUUCACCUAACAGCUCCAACAACUUUAACUAACUCCCUCUGUCACGUGCUAGUCAUGUGACUAUUUAAUUCCUAAUUACAAUUGAUGAAAUUGGAAAGAAAAUUACAAAAAUCACUAGAGUUGUAACAAACACCUUAAUUACAAGGAAACCUUUUCAACCCAUAGAUUUCAAGAAAAAUCGGCAACAAGUUCAAAGAAUGAUUUUAACUAAGUUCUUCGAUGAAGUAAGUCUUACAACACUAUCGUAUUCAAAAAUCGAUUAUAAGUCUUUGAACGAUUCUAGUAUACAGAAUCACAUUAUAUAACUAGAGCCACCAUCACCUUGGAAAGAUUGAAACUUGAACCUAGGGUUCUUGAGAACUAACAAAGAUCAUUAAUGGUAUACCUAAUCAUUACCUUUGGUGAUGAAAUUCAAUGUAGAUUCAGAAUGUUUUUGGUGAUUAUUGAGUGACUUUGUUAUGAAUUUAACCAAGAUGGAGGUCCUAUUUGCAAAGAUGUCAAAUUACAUUUGGGACCUCGGGAAGAUGUUUAUAUAUAGUAGAGGAAUAUAAUCUAUUAGAGGAAUGUUAUGAAGUUGUCUUUUAUUUUCUUAGUAGUUUUAACAUUCUGAAAUCUCCCUUUUCUAUUUUCCUUUUGUUUCUAUGAUGAAUUCUUAUUUCAAUGUAUGUGAAUAUGAAUCUCCUUACCAAUAUGAUUCCCCAUCGUUACAAUGGUGCUUUCAUUGUCCCUCCUUUACCAAAUGGGUAUCAUCUUCCUUUCAAACUCCUCCAGCCCCAUACAACCAGUAAGAAUUACUGCCCCUUCAUCACCGAGCCCCACUUAUCCACCUCCAAUUUUGGAGAAGAUCUUCACUUCCCUCAAAAUCGUGCAGGAUGCAGUGGUAGAGUCGCAAGAACGUAGCAAACGUAUCCUCUCAUCUAUUUGCCAUGUGUGAUCAGUGUUGCAGGAGGAGAUGCAAUCGAACUCCACUUCCAUUGAUGCUCCAGAGAUUUUAAAUGCUAUAAAUAUCACCUCUGUACAAGAGUCAACUUACGUUGAUAGUAACGCCGAGGUGGCUGAUAUGGUGAAAUCCCAUUUUGAUUCAGAGCUUCCUGUUCUUGGUGUUGGAGAUAAAAUACCGCAAUACGUUUUUCCUGACGUGCUGUCCAGUGAUUCUAUUGAUGCUACCGAGCUCAAAUUCUCACCUCUCUUUCUCAGUUAAGGGAUCACUAGAGUUUGACUGCAAGGUGUUCGAUGGAGUGCCGAAGAGGGAUAUUUCUGCAGAAUUUCAUAGUCCUAGUGCACCUAUUGGCUCGCUUCCACCUGUUUUGAGCAUUAAUGAUUGCAAGUGGGUGGAUACUGGGCGGUUAAGUGAUUCAUUUGACAGGCACUAAUACAACCAAAUUAAGCUCUUAGGUUGUGCUCCUCUUUUGAUUAAUCGUUUAAGUUCCUCAUCAGAUACACCUAAACUGUUCGAUAAACUGGCUGAAAGAAGUAGAUGGCUUUCCAUGUUGCAUGACUCUGAAUAUAUAGGUGAGGCCGCCUAAACUGUUCGAUAAACUGGCUGAAAGAAUUAGAUGGCUUUCCAUGUUGCAUGACUCUGAAUAUAUAGGUGAGGCCGAAGUGCUAAUUGAAUGCAGUGAUAAUCUUAUAAGUUUUUGUAAUUCCUACAAGCUAUUGGGUAUAUCUCUAGAGAAUUCAUUUUUGUAUUUUCUUGAUCGGGCUGCUAUUUCUCGUGUGGAGAGGUACGCAAUUAAUCAAUUCAGGCAUGUUAGGGCCAACUGCAAGAGGGAUAUUAGUAUGGAGAGGUACAUAUUCGAGAACGCAAAUGUUUUUAGUGGAAAUUUCAGAUCUUAUAUAUAUCUAUUGUCUGAUAAUAUGGCACGUGCAACAACUUUAUCUUUAUUGAUUGAGCUUUGUUCAUCCGAACAAGUAGAACCAGGCUUGCCUCUUCGGUUGCCUUUCGACUUUAGGUAUAAGAUUGGAAAUUUUACACGGCAAAUAAAUCUGGAAUUGGUGAUUUCUCAGCCUGCACGAAUACUUGAAUGGAUUGAUUCUCUCAAGGGUUGGACGUCACUUUCGCCUCGACAAGAACAAGUUGAAGGAAUUUCGAUGCUUGUUGGUCAGAUUGAAGGAUUGUCUGACUAUGAUUAUGACUCAUGCGUGGUAUAUGUACCUAACAGCAAAUUCUUGUCAAGGAAUGGCCCAACACAUGUCAAAUAUUGGGAGAGAUAUACAGGACUCGACUUAGUGAAAGGGUGGAGGAAACAUCUUGACAUAAUACUUCCAAUAUUAGUGACUUCUAUCUGGGUAACUUAGGGAGCAUAUAUUAUGGCCUGUUUUGUGGAUGGUAAGAUUUUAAAAGCUACAGUGCUACAUAAUGAGAUGGUUGUGCAAGAAAUUAAAUCAAAUAUUGUGCUAUGCACCAAUCAGAUUCAUGAAUUUUGCAAUGAAUAUAUGCCAUUGGAAGCUGGUUUUGUGUUGGUUGCCGGAAGUACUUGGCUCGAGGUGCAACCUUUUUCUUAUUCCUCAACAGCUUUUCUUAUUUUUAUCAGGUUUUCAAUCCAUACCUUUGAUCCUGGUAUACUCAAUAUCCAUAUAACUGAUGAUAUGGACCUGGCCAUGCAUACACAUACUAGUACUCCUGCUACUUAUUAUUUAAUUGCUAUACUGGGGCGCGACCGAGUACAUGACCCUAGAUAGGAAGGUCUGGAAGACGCGAAUUACGGCAGAGGAUUAGGGCCAGUUUGGGUCGCUAGUGUAGGUAAUUACUUGAUGGGGGUUUUAUUCCUGUUAUGAUUCCGCAUUCCGUGUUCCAUGUUUAUUACGAAUCUGUGUGCUUCCCUCUGCUUUCCUCUGUUUUAUAUUCCUUAUGGGUGCCGUAUUUAGGUUAUGUAAUCUGCUUCUGUGCUUUACUAUGUGUUUGUGUGGUAUCUCGUGCCUUGAGCCGGGUCUUUCGGAAACAGCCUUUCUACUUCAUCAGAGGUAGAGGUAUGGACUGCGUACAUCUUACCCCCCCCAGACCCCACUAGGUGGGAAUACACUGGGUUUGUUGUUGUUGUUGUAUACUGGGGCGCGAGCAAAUUGGUGGCCUUGUGAUGGAAGAAGUAGGCACUGAUGCAUUUGUAAAUUUUGAUAAAAUGACCAAGUCCAGUGCUCAAGUGUUCUUGUUAUCUGAAACGGUGAUGUUUGACAUUCACAAAUCAAAUGGUCCUUUGUCUGUUGUAGUUAAGAAGUGCAUUUUGAUGUUCUUUGAAAUAUCAUAGAAUAGAACGGAACACAACAAUUUGUAUGAAGCAAUUUCCAAGAACAUCCAGUUCGGUAUCCUUCUUGCAACAAAUAGUUUGGCUCUUAGCUAUGUGGUUCUUGAACACUCAAUAAUGGACUUAGUCGCUAAGCUUGCAGUUGGAUUGACACAUGUUUUUGGUCUAUCAAUGUCUCUUUCAUAUCUUACUGUUGAUGUUGUUUCUCAUAUACUCAUCUUUGCCUACACAACUAUUCUAGUAAUUUUCAUAAAGACCAAAUACUCCUUCCAAAAUAUCACAGUAAUGCAAGAGUACGUGAAGGACCCAAGCAAGUUUACUACGAUUACUCUAGCUCCAGUUCCUGCUACUUUUUGUGACCCUUAUGGUACCCAGACUUGGCGCAAACCACUUGAGACUACUGAUGCAGAAGAAAAGGAAAAGCAAUAUUCCAUGAUUAGUAGUAAAGAUGUCUUGACCCAUCACCCUCGUUGCCAUGUUUCUCAGUAUAAGUUUCAUUUUUGCAAAGCAGAAAUAUUUGUGGAGAAUUACUCCAGAUCUUGGAAUCAUUUUUCAUCAUUUAUGUGCACAUGUAAUUGGUGGCACAUUAAACUUUCUUAUCUGGAGAAAACAUGGAUGCAACUCUUGUGGCUUUUAAAUGAUGCUUUCCCUUGGAUUUCUAGUAAGUUGGUUUGGAAAGUGCCUAUACGUUGGGGUGCUUCUUGGAUUACAGAGAUCCUACAUGUGCUAAUGCCACCAAUACAAACUGCUUUAGAGGAAUCUGAUCCAAAUAUUAACAGUGAUCUUAACUCAAAGCUCCAUCAAGUGUUCAAUGUUUGCCCUUUGGUUCUACCAUCCAAGGAACUCUUUGGUGAUUAUCUUGUUAGAUGUGGAUGCAUCCUCUAGUUUGAAAAGCAAAAAGAAGGAUCAAUAUUGGAAGUUGCUUUGGAUAAUGAAGCUUUUGAGGAAUUCUUUUGGGUUGUUAACACUGACAAAGAGGAACAUAACAACACCAUGUCUCUGUACGACUAUACUCGAACCUUGAGGACAAGGUUCUUAUUGAGGGUGGGAGAAUUGUUAUGAAUUUAACCAAGAUGGAGGUCCUAUUUGCAAAGAUGUCAAAUUACAUUUGGGACCCCGGGAAGAUGUCUAUAUAUAGUAGAGGAAUAUAAUCUAUUAGAGGAAUGUUAUGAAGUUGUCUUUUAUUUUCUUAGUAGUUUUAACAUUCUGAAAUCUCCCUUUUCUAUUUUCCUUUUGUUUCUAUGAUGAAUUCUUAUUUCAAUGUAUGUGAAUAUGAAUCUCCUUACCAAUAUGAUUCCCCAUCGUUACAGACUUGUAGCAGGUAGUGUUCAAAAGGAAGAAAUCGAGUUGAGUAACAACAAUGCUUUUACUAAAGUUGUCUCCUCACAAAAUUCAUAACAUGUAUUUUUAGGUAACGUGUUUAUAUUGUUAAUAUGAGUUUGAUUGGAGCGGG